rnacentral:rRNA from 1 species
GUGCCAGCAGCCGCGGUAAUACGUAGGGUGCAAGCGUUAUCCGGAAUUAUUGGGCGUAAAGGGCUCGUAGGCGGUUCGUCGCGUCCGGUGUGAAAGUCCAUCGCUUAACGGUGGAUCUGCGCCGGGUACGGGCGGGCUGGAGUGCGGUAGGGGAGACUGGAAUUCCCGGUGUAACGGUGGAAUGUGUAGAUAUCGGGAAGAACACCGAUGGCGAAGGCAGGUCUCUGGGCCGUCACUGACGCUGAGGAGCGAAAGCGUGGGGAGCGAACAGGAUUAGAUACCCUGGUAGUCCACGCCGUAAACGGUGGACGCUGGAUGUGGGGCACGUUCCACGUGUUCCGUGUCGGAGCUAACGCGUUAAGCGUCCCGCCUGGGGAGUACGGCCGCAAGGCUAAAACUCAAAGAAAUUGACGGGGGCCCGCACAAGCGGCGGAGCAUGCGGAUUAAUUCGAUGCAACGCGAAGAACCUUACCUGGGCUUGACAUGUUCCCGACGACGCCAGAGAUGGCGUUUCCCUUCGGGGCGGGUUCACAGGUGGUGCAUGGUCGUCGUCAGCUCGUGUCGUGAGAUGUUGGGUUAAGUCCCGCAACGAGCGCAACCCUCGCCCCGUGUUGCCAGCACGUUAUGGUGGGAACUCACGGGGGACCGCCGGGGUUAACUCGGAGGAAGGUGGGGAUGACGUCAGAUCAUCAUGCCCCUUACGUCCAGGGCUUCACGCAUGCUACAAUGGCCGGUACAGCGGGAUGCGACGCGGCGACGCGGAGCGGAUCCCUGAAAACCGGUCUCAGUUCGGAUCGCAGUCUGCAACUCGACUGCGUGAAGGCGGAGUCGCUAGUAAUCGCGAAUCAGCAACGUCGCGGUGAAUGCGUUCCCGGGCCUUGUACACACCGCCCGUCAAGUCAUGAAAGUGGGCAGCACCCGAAGCCGGUGGCCUAACCCCUUGUGGGAUGGAGCCGUCUAAGGUGAGGCUCGUGAUUGGGACUAAGUCGUAACAAGGUAGCCGUACCGGAAGGUGCGGCUG